CACAAAUUAAAAUAUGAAGGCUUCGGCUGGAUUAUUUUUAUCACCCUUGUCUUUUGCGCACUUGUUGUUUCCUGGGCGGGUUCGCCCGCCACCAGGACCACACCAUAAACCUUUUUUUAUGCAAUUGCAAUCAGCGUCAGUAUAACAAAUGUAAAUCAUUUG
rnacentral:misc_RNA from 1 species